rnacentral:rRNA from 1 species
GAUGAACGCUGGCGGCGUGCCUAAUACAUGCAAGUCGAGCGAACGGACGAGAAGCUUGCUUCUCUGAUGUUAGCGGCGGACGGGUGAGUAACACGUGUAUAACCCACCUAUAAGACUGGGAUAACUUCGGGAAACCGUAGCUAAUACCGGAUAAUAUUUUUAACCGCAUGGUUCAAAAGUGAAAGACGGUCUUGCUGUCACUUAUAGAUGGAUCCGCGCUGCAUUAGCUAGUUGGUAAGGUAACGGCUUACCAAGGCAACGAUGCAUAGCCGACCUGAGAGGGUGAUCGGCCACACUGGAACUGAGACACGGUCCAGACUCCUACGGGAGGCAGCAGUAGGGAAACUUUCGCAAUGGGCGAAAGCCUGAAGGAGCAACGCCGAGUGAGUGAUGAAGGUCUUCGGAUCGUAAAACUCUGUUAUUAGGGAAGAACAUAUGUGUAAGUAACUGUGCACAUCUUGACGGUACCUAAUCAGAAAGCCACGGCUAACUACGUG